AGAGUUUGAUUAUGGCUCAGGAUGAACGCUAGCUACAGGCUUAACACAUGCAAGUCGCGGGGCAGCAUGUCGGUUGCUUGCAACCGAUGAUGGCGACCGGCGCACGGGUGAGUAACGCGUAUCCAACCUGCCCUUCACCACGGAAUAAUCCAGUGAAAAUUGGUCUAAUACCGUAUGAGGUCAUACGAUGGCAUCAGAAUAUGACGAAAGGUUUAGCGGUGAAGGAUGGGGAUGCGUCUGAUUAGCUUGUUGGUGAGGUAACGGCUCACCAAGGCGACGAUCAGUAGGGGUUCUGAGAGGAAGGUCCCCCACAUUGGAACUGAGACACGGUCCAA
rnacentral:rRNA from 1 species